AUUGAACGCUGGCGGCAUGCCUUACACAUGCAAGUCGAACGGCAGCACGGGUGCUUGCACCUGGUGGCGAGUGGCGAACGGGUGAGUAAUACAUCGGAACGUACCUUAUCGUGGGGGAUAACGCAGCGAAAGCUGUGCUAAUACCGCAUACGCCCUGAGGGGGAAAGCGGGGGAUCGCAAGACCUCGCGCGAUUAGAGCGGGUGAUGCCUGAUUAGCUUGUUGGUGGGGUAAAAGCCCACCAAGGCGACGAUCAGUAGCUGGUCUGAGAGGACGAUCAGCCACACUGGGACUGAGACACGGCCCAGACUCCUACGGGAGGCAGCAGUGGGGAGUUUUGGACAAUGGGGGCAACCCUGAUCCAGCAAUGCCGCGUGAGUGAAGAAGGCCUUCGGGUUGUAAAGCUCUUUUGUCAGGGAAGAAACACCGGCUCUAACACAGUCCGGGAAUGACGGUACCUGAAGAAUAAGCACCGGCUAACUACGUGCCAGCAGCCGCCGCCG
rnacentral:rRNA from 1 species